rnacentral:lncRNA from 1 species
UCAGUAUUAUAUUAAAACAUGAGAAGUUUGAUGCUAGCAUUAUUUUUUAAUUUAGAUUAGGAUUGCUAUGAAAUAUGAAUCAAGCAUCACAUUAAAUAGGCUACCAUUAAAUUUUUAUAAUAAUUGAAGCAAGAUAACUAUAAUUUUAAUUUUACAGUAAAAAGCAUAGGCAAGCAUUUCCAAAAAAAAGUGUACUAAAAUUUGUGAUAAUUUUUGUUUACUGCAUGGAUCUACAUAUGUGGAGCUGAACAAAAUUUGUUUUAUAAUUUUUAGAUUUUUCUAUGAAUUACUAUGUAUUUAUUAAUUUUCAGCCGAUUUAAAAAAUAAAAGAAAAAUAAAUUGGAGAUUUUACAUUGGGAAUUCUAGAAAUUUUUUAUUUUUUUCUCUAAUAUGAGAUUUUGCAUUAGGAACCCUAGAAUGUUUUUUAUUUUGUUUUUGGCUUCUAGAAACCUUGGAGGGAGGAGGCGAUCGUAACCGAACACGCACAGGAGGCGAUCCUAACCGGACAGGAUUAUGGGCAGAAGAAAGUAUUUGGCAAACUGAAAUUUUGGCUCUUUAUAGAUAGGUAUAGAUUUUGGCCGAAGAUUACAACACAAUUUUUAUAAAAAAUUUCUUCGAGCAACUCUAACCGUUUGGCUAUUUUUCUUGUGGAGGCUAUUUUAGGAUUUGUGUAACAAAAUGAUCCUAUGUGAUUUUGUAAAAUAUUCCUUGAUUUUUGGUGGCCAUAUAUAGCUAGGCCUUGUUUAGUUCCCCAAAAAUUUUGCAAAAUUUUUCAGAUUUCCCGUCACAUCGAAUAUUUAGACGUAUGCAUGAAGUAUUAAAUAUAGAUGAAAAUAAAAACUAAUCGCACAGUUUGGUCGAAAUUGGCGAGACUAAUCUUUUGAGCCUAGUUAGUCCAUAAUUGAACAAUAUUUGUCAAAUACAAACGAAAGUGCUACUAUUCCUAUUUUGCAAAAUUUUUUGGAAGUAAACAAGGCCCUAAUCACAGACACUUGCAAUCUAACUUUAUAAAAUAGCAAUGCUAUUGUGAACCUCUUCUUUUUGGAUAAUUUUUCUAUUUUAGACAAUAAAAUUUGGCUAUUAAUUUUAGCUAUAUAAGAUGCUGGAGUUGCUCUAAGAAAACAAAAAUAAAACAGGUCCAUUACAAGAAAAAAAAAGAUAAAAAAAAGCUGCAUCCCGUCGUUGGAUGAAGCACAGCCCAAUAACACAGCCCAAUAAACCAACGUUGUGUAUGGGCCAUAUGGCGUUAUGGAGUCGGCUGAGCCACGAGCGCAAC